GCAAUUCCUUGUUCUCAGAACACUGCCAAUGACCAAACAUACCAGGAAAUAAUAACUCAGACCCCAGGCAAAGUGGCAAAUCAAUGAAAGCAAUAAAAAACAAUAAGAAAGGCAGGUUUGCCCCAAACUGAUCAAAGGUAUUGAGCUUCAGCUGAACUGGUAGGAUAUAUACUAAAGGGGAAAAAAAAGAAACCAAGCAGUAUGGAGAAUGUUAUUUUAACCUUUGUCUGCAGUUGUUCCUGAAG
rnacentral:misc_RNA from 1 species